UAGGGAAUCUUCGGCAAUGGACGGAAGUCUGACCGAGCAACGCCGCGUGAGUGAAGAAGGUUUUCGGAUCGUAAAGCUCUGUUGUUAGAGAAGAACGUUGGUAGGAGAGGAAAAUCUACCAAGUGACGGUAACUAACCAGAAAGGGACGGCUAAUACGUGCCAGCAGGCGCGGUAAUACGUAGGUGCGUAGCGUUGUCCGGAUUUAUUGGGCGUAAAGCGGGCGCAGGCGGUUCGUUAAGUCUGAAGUUAAAGGCAGUGGCUUAACCAUUGUACGCUUUGGAAACUGGAGGACUUGAGUGCAGAAGGUGAGAGUGGAAUUCCAUGUGUAGCGGUGAAAUGCGUAGAUAUAUGGAGGAACACCGGUGGCGAAAGCGGCUCUCUGGUCUGUAACUGACGCUGAGGCUCGAAAGCGUGGGGAGCAAACAGG
rnacentral:rRNA from 1 species